rnacentral:tRNA from 25 species
GGUGGUGUCGCCUAGUGGACGAGGGCGCACGCCUCGAAAGCGUGUGAAGUGCAAGCUUCCGUGGGUUCGAAUCCCACCACCACCGCCA